rnacentral:rRNA from 1 species
UGGGCACCCUUUGGGAUCCAACCGAUCCAGGAGGGGGCUUGCGUUUUCACACAAACCCCUAUUUAAAAGUGUAGAAUGUCCUCAUUUUUGCAAUAAUACGCAAUCAAUACAACUUUCAACAACGGAUCUCUUGGCUCUCGCAUCGAUGAAGAACGCAGCGAAAUGCGAUACGUAAUGUGAAUUGCAGAAUUCAGUGAAUCAUCGAAUCUUUGAACGCACCUUGCGCCCCUUGGUAUUCCGAGGGGCACACCCGUUUGAGUGUCGUGAAAAUCUCAACCUUCUCGGUUUCUUCUGGACACCGAAGGAGGCUUGGACUCUGGAGGCCUUUGCCGGCAUCUCUUGUCGGCUCCUCUCAAAUGAAUUAGCGGGGUCCUCUUUGCCAAUCCUCGACAUGUGAUAAGAUGUUUCCAUGUCUUGGUUUAUGGCUCUGUUGCUUAUGGGACCCGCUUCUAACCGUCUCAUCGACAAC